rnacentral:rRNA from 1 species
UGACCUCGGAUCAGGUAGCGAUACCCGCUGAACUUAAGCAUAUCAAUAAGCGGAGGA